GGUUUUUUAACCUUGACUUGAUCGAGACAAAAAGAAUAUAUAUUAAUUAUUGUAGAUGCACAUCUACUCGCUUUGGUCUUGUUGUUUUUGUUAGAUAUGUUCAUGGGACGACCUUGGUUCUGUUCUCUCUGUCACUUCUUUAUUUCAGUUUUGAGAAAUUCUUCGAUCAAGACAAAAGAAACUAUCUGUUUUUGUUUUGUUUUUUUGUUUUCUUAAAUCAAUUAAGUUUAAGGAAUUGUAUUUUUUUAGUUAUUGAUCAUACUCUAUUUCUUAUUAUUGCAAAUAUUAGCUAUGAAUUAGUUGAGAUAAACAAUUUCCAUCAAUUUUAGACUAUGUACGAUCAAAACAUGUUAUUGAAUUUCGUUUCUAUUAAAAAAGAAAACCUAUAUUAUUUCUAUGAAGUUGUUAUAGAGUCUUUUAAAAUUACUCUAAGUGUAAGAAUUUGUUAGAAUAUAAUGUUUGAAUGAAGUAGGGACUUUGGGAUGGGUAUGAGCUACGGUGUUGAAAUGGUCGGAUUUAGGUUUUAAUUUUCAUUCCAAAUCAUGGUCAUCGUAGUGUUUUAUUUAUCAAUUUCAUUUAACACUUUUAUGUAUUUAGACUAAAUGGUAGUUUUAAAAUGUUUAUAAAACAUUGUGAAAGACAAUUACAAUUUUCUUUUUGGUUAAAAUAGCUUGAACUUUCAACCUUUUAAAAAAUUCAAUUGUAUUAGUAUAUAUAAACAUAAAACUUUAAGCUUAAUAUUUCAUCGGCAAUACAUCUGCGAACUUUUACUAGUUGUAUUAGUACUUUUUACCCUCUCAAUAAAAAACACGGGGAAUUGUUAUGAAGACAAUAUUUUACUAUUUUUAAAAAUGUCUCCUUACAUAAAGUAUAAUGAUCUUUUUUAUUUUUGAUUUUUAACUGUCUUCUUUCUCUUUUUUAUUAUUAAAAAUCGAGCUUUUAUAUUAAAAUUAGAUCUUAUUGUUUUUUUGUGACAUUUUUCUAAAUAACAAACAUAUAUCCAUCCUUAUAAUGAGUUGUUUUUAUUGAGUUUGGUAUUGAUUGCUUUGUUUAUUUAUUUAUUAAAAUUUAAUUUUUAUAUAUUAAAAACUAUAGAAACAAAUAUUUUUCUUUCAUUAGUUUUUCUCUCGAAACAAAUCAAAAUGUCUAAUUUUACACCGAAGUUUCAAAUAGCGGUCGAUAGUUCAAAUCGAUAUGAUUAAUACAUUUAGAGUUAAAAUUAAUUUUUUUCUAAACUAAGAUGAAUGCAGCUCAAUUAACAACUUCCUAUUAAUAAAGUUUAGAUUAGAAGUUUAAUUUAUAUAUUUAGUAACUCAUUUGGCAUUGGAGUGUUAAACUAAGUUCUCAUUUUAAUAACUCAUUUUAAGUUCUCAUUUCUCUUAACAAAAAAAAAAAAAAACAUGAUGGCUUUUUAUUGAAAAAAGAAAAAAAGAGAAAAGAAACGAAGAAGAAAAGAGAUUGGAUUAAGUUUGGUUUAGCGCUUGGGUGGCAUGAGUGUUCAUUAUCAUUUCUUCCUGGCCUCGAUAGCUGAAACUCAAAAUUGUUUCAAUCUUCAAAGAUUAUCGAAUCCAUUCUCUCAAAUCCCCAUGAAUUCCACAAUCCAUUAUUCCUUUUUCCUCCAUUGUUGAAAUGCCUCGCCCUGAGCUUGGUUCUUCCCCUUCCUCCUCACACCAACCAUCUCAACCUCACCGUUUCUCUCCAUCUACCGCCAAUUUCACCUUCUUUGUCCCCGCCGGCGGCUUGUUUCUCGACCCUUUUCUUCCAUCUUCUUUCCUCAACUCAAUUUCCCUCAAGAGUAACUCAAUUCAAGAUUCCGGUUCUGUUUCUGUUUCUGUUUCCACUCCUUUCUGUCAUCAAGAACAUCCUCUGUUGUUUGGGGUUUUCCGGUCCCGGAAGAACCCUCGCAUUGCUCACUGCGGGUUUUUGUCUGUUAGUGUUAGAGGUCAUGGAUUUGUUCGGGAGCAGAAGGUUCAUGUUAAUGCCUAUGACAAUUGUAAGAAGGCGGGAGAAUGCGGGGAAGAUUUUGCCAUUGUUGAGAAGAAGCAUACUGUACGGACAAGGGGUGCUAUGAAUACUACGAAGCACCUUUGGUCUGGUGCGAUUGCCGCCAUGGUUUCAAGAACUUUAGUUGCUCCACUUGAGAGGCUAAAGUUGGAAUAUAUAGUUCGUGGUGAGCAGAGAAAUCUAUGUGAUCUCGUCAAGAAAAUUGCAGCUUCUCAAGGGUUGAAAGGGUUUUGGAAGGGAAAUUUCGUCAAUAUUCUUCGAACAGCUCCGUUUAAAGCAAUCAACUUUUAUGCUUACGAUACGUACAGAAAACAACUGCUUAAAUUGUCUGGACACAAGAAUACCACGAAUUUUGAGAGAUUUGUUGCUGGUGCUGCAGCAGGCAUUACUGCAACCGUACUUUGCCUACCACUUGACACAAUCCGAACGAAGAUAGUGGCGCCUGGUGGGGAAGCAUUAGGCGGUGUUGUUGGUGCUUUUCGCCACAUGAUCCAAACUGAAGGGUUCUUUUCUCUUUACAAGGGCUUACUACCCUCCAUUUUAAGUGUGGCGCCUUCUGGUGCUGUUUUCUAUAGCGUCUACGAUAUACUAAAGACUGCUUAUCUUCAUUCACCCGAAGGAAGGCAAAGAAUACGGAACAUGAACCAGCAGGGGCAGGGGCAGGAGUUGAAUGCUCUGGAUCAGUUGGAGUUGGGACCUAUUAGGACUUUACUGUAUGGUGCUAUAUCUGGUGCUUGUGCUGAAUUAGUGACGUACCCAUUUGAAGUAAUCAGGAAGCAACUUCAAAUGCAAGUCCAGGCAACUAGAAUGAGUGCUUUUGCAACCUGUUCUAAGAUAGUUCAGCAAAGAGGAAUACAAGCUUUAUAUGCAGGACUUCUUCCCAGCCUUUUACAGGUACUUCCUUCAGCUGCCAUAAGUUUUUUCGUUUACGAGUUUAUGAAGAUUAUUCUUAAAGUGGAAUGAACGAUGACAACAAAAUUUAGGAGGAGACUGAUCAGUUAGCCCAACACAGUUCACAGUUAAGCAUCGGAAAUGCCCUUGAAACAUAACCACAUUAUGGAGCUUCGUUUUGAAAAGAAUGUUCACACAAUCCAA